AGAAUAUAAUAAAUCCUGAGACAUUAAUACUUGGCUACGAUGGACUUUCUCUGUCUGCCCCUGUCUCUCUCUCUCCUGCACGGAUUAUGGAGAGAAACGUCACAGUCUGCGCAGUAGCCUACUAGUCAGUGGCGUAUCAUCCACGGUGCGAAGGGGUUUAAUGAACCAGGGCCCACGACCAAUAGGAGCCCACAGAUGUGGCGUAGCAACCAUGGCGAGAAGGAAGCCAUGACUCAUGGCCAGUUGGAGCCCACAACUUAGCUUCUCCUUGCACCAAAAAAAAGCAGCAACAUCUUUUGGAGCCAUAUCUUGUGACUCGAGCGACGCCUAGACAGCCUAAGAGUAUAGUAAUGAUAGAAACAUGGCGAUAAAGGAAGCAGUUUGUGGUGGGUAAGGCCCUUGGUAGAGGCACUGUCGUAAAUCUGGAGCUGAACCGGUAUUUACAUAUUCCGAGCAUGCUACAACUACAAGCGGACACUUCUUCAUCACGACAUUGAUGCCACCCGACACUUAGACGACCUACUUUUUCACAAGAAGAAAUGUAACAAAACAUACAAGAUAAUAUAACGAAGCCUCUUACAAGAAAGGUUCAGAUGCCUCUAGAUAUUUGAUCAGGUCUCUACGACACUCUUCGUGAAGUCAGAUUGAAAUAAAUAAACAAACAAAUAAAAGAACAAAGUAAUUGAUAACAAGAUUUAAAGUAUUCGUCAUUCGUCCAAGUCAAAAGUGGACUAUUGGAGAAUAAUCAGACGUUCAAGCUAGGAGUAGGCAAUUGGUGAAUAAUCAGAUGUUCAAGCCAGGAGUAGGCAAUUGGAGAAUAAUCAGAUGUUCAAGCCAGGAGUAGGCAAUUGGAGAAUAAUCAGAUGUUCAAGCUAGGAGUAGGCAAUUGAAGAAUAAUCAGAUGUUCAAGCUAGGAGUAGGCAAUUGGAGAAUAAUCAGAUGUUCAAGCCAGGAGUAGGCAAUUGGAGAAUAAUCAGAUGUUCAAGCCAGGAGUAGGCAAUUGGAGAAUAAUCAGAUGUUCAAGCCAGGAGUAGGCAAUUGGAGAAUAAUCAGAUGUUCAAGCUAGGAGUAGGCAAUUGGAGAAUAAUCAGAUGUUCAAGCUAGGAGUAGGCAAUUGAAGAAUAAUCAGAUGUUCAAGCUAGGAGUAAGCAAUUGGAGAAUAAUCAGAUGUUCAAGCUAGGAGUAGGCAA